rnacentral:rRNA from 1 species
AUUGAACGCUGGCGGCAGGCCUAACACAUGCAAGUCGAGCGGCAGCGGAAGGAAGCUUGCUUCCUUGCCGGCGAGCGGCGGACGGGUGAGUAAGGUAUGGGGAUCUGGCCGAAGGCGGGGGAUAACCACUGGAAGCGGUGGCUAAUACCGCAUAAUCUCUAAGGAGCAAAGUGGGGGGCCGUUCAGGCCUCACACCUUCGGAUGAACCCAUAUGAGAUUAGCUAGUAGGUGGGGUAAUGGCUCACCUAGGCGACGAUCUCUAGCUGGUCUGAGAGGAUGAUCAGCCACACUGGGACUAAGACACGGCCCAGACUCCUACGGGAGGCAGCAGUGGGGAAUAUUGCACAAUGGGCGCAAGCCUGAUGCAGCCAUGCCGCGUGUAUGAAGAAGGCCUUCGGGUUGUAAAGUACUUUCAGUCGUGAGGAAGGUGUUAAGGUUAAUAACCUUAGCAAUUGACGUUAGCGACAGAAGAAGCACCGGCUAACUCCGUGCCAGCAGCCGCCGCCG